UACAGAGGGUGCGAGCGUUAAUCGGAAUUGCUGGGCGUAAAGCGUGCGUAGACGGUUAUUUAAGUCGGAUGUGAAAGCCCCGGGCUCAACCUGGGAAUUGCAUUCGAGACUGAAUAGCUAGGGUACGGUAGAGGGGAGUGGAAUUUCCGGUGUAGCGGUGAAAUGCGUAGAUAUCGGAAGGAACAUCAGUGGCGAAAGCGACUUCCUGGACCAGUACCGACGUUCAGGCACGAAAGCGUGGGGAGCAAACAGG
rnacentral:rRNA from 1 species